AUCCCUCAAGUUUACUUCUGGGAAAGUUUGCCAAUUAACUUAGCACACCAAGACUCCCAGAGUGGAAGGGAAAAGGAGGCAAAGGCCCAGUCCAGCCCCUGGGGGAGGGGGAGCAGGUGGAGGAUUCAUCCUCUGGAACAUGGAAGGUCAGACAAGGCCAAGGCCACCAGUCAGGAGGCUGCUCCUGCUCAUAGACUGAGAAGGGUCAGGCUGCCUCGGUCCUGCUCCUUCAGGGCUCUGUGAUAUUCUGCAGAUGUGGAGGGGGAGGGCCAGGUAGGGAGACAGAGGGAUGGGCACCCUGGCUGGGAUGGUUCUACAGAUAGGUCUAGUGCUGGGUCUAUAAUACUGGAACAAGCAGCAGCUGAGAUGCUAUGUUAUAACCUCCAUGGCAGGAUGCUUCAGGCCUGGAAGGGUGUCCCACCCAAUAGUCCCCAGGUCUCACCCUUUAUAUUCUCUCUCUCUCUCUCUCUCUCUCUCUCUCUCUCUCUCUCUCUCUCUCUCUCUCUCUCCCUCUCUCUCUCUCUCUCUCUCUCUCCAAUUAGAAACCAGGGGUCCCCUCUCUUCCAGCUAGGGAAGUCCCCGGCUCCAUUCUCCAGUUCUUUUGUGCAUACCUAGCAUAUCUAAUGCUGGGCUAGGCUCUCCUGGGUGGCUCCCACCUGCUGAGGGGGUGGGAGGGGCCAGUUUGCUUUGGCUUUGUGACUGAAGUUUAAAUGUUGCUGCCAUUAGGGCUCAUCUGGGUCUGUGUGUGGUUGGGGUGGGGUCAGAGGGUUUUGCUUCCUUCCUAACAAAUCCAGGGAGAAGCCCAAACAGAGUGUGUGCUGAGAGUGAGGAGACCAAGCAGACACCUGAAGAGGCCAUAUGGGUUCCUAAGUCCCAGAAAUGCAUGUGGCAUCCUGGCAGGGCAAAAGCCCCCGACGGAGACACCGCCAUCUCUGGGAGACUAGAAGAAUCAAAUAGCCAAUUUAGCCAAGAAGGGAAUCUCAGGGCAGGGUGCUGUUGCUAUUACCUGGUCAGACCCGACAGGUCUCUUACUAUGUGUGUGUGUGUUGGGGGAGUGGGGGGAAGAGAAAGAGAGCUGUCCAGCUACUUCUGAACUGAGGGACCUGCCCAGCAGCCGGUAGAGUGGAGAAAGGCGAGCCACCUUACCCAAAGCCUGAAUAUCUGUUAGGCGCUGUCUUCCCCAGCUGUCUUCCGGAUGCCUGGCUCAGGAAUGCUACCCCAGGCUUGCAGGGCAAGCUGGAGAACAAGGCCCCUGAAAGGCCUUGCUUUGAUUUUUUUUUUUUAAAAAGGCAGUCUAUAGCAAUCCCCUCUCGAGCUGCCUCAGGGAAGGGACGCCCCAGCAUCCACGGUCCAUCCUGCUACUCUGGUCUCUUGACCGCUGGUCGCUACCACCGAGCUGCAAAGACUCCCUACACCCAAGCUGUGGCUUUAAAUUGCAAAGGGCAUUUUAUCUUUUUGUUACCACACAAGGGCGGCUUGUGAAGUAUAAUGCCCGACCAAGCCUUCUACAGCGUCUCUAGCAAAACUGACUCCCCUGUCCACUACAAACCUGGCAAAACGGAAUUGUAAAUAAGUUCACGGGCAUGACAAGAUGCCCGCUGUUGGCAAUUCCGCAGGCAUACAGACGGAGGGUCAGGUCAAAGGAAUUCUGGGGACAUGGGACACAAAGAGGACUCUGCUGCUAGGGGAAGAUAGCUUCCCCAUCCUGACCACACUGGACUGUGCAGGAAAGAAGGCAGAGGAGGAGGCCUGGGCUUGGCCGUGAGGAUUGCACACACUCCCUACCCAGAAGGCCAGUCAGUCAGCCAGCUGGUCAGACUUCCACGAUCCCUGCCACUCUCCCGGGUUCCUUGUCUCACUCGGGAAGUAUCGAGGAGGACCAAGGCCUCUCUCCACACUAUGGACAUGCUGGAGUUUCCAGGGCUACACUGAGCCAGAGGCUGGGAAUUCUGACUGUGGCUAGUAACCUGGGCUGCCAGUCUCCCUUAACAGACAAGGAGCCAGCAACUGUCCUCUUGGAUCCACCGCUCAACGCUCCAAAUGAGGGUAGGGUCAGUGACAUUGGUGAACUGUAGGCAGAGGCCAGGCUUCUCAGGGAGGGGCCCUAAGAAGGACAAAAACUGAGCCAGAGUCCCUGGAAGGCCCUCUUCCCCUCCCCCCAGGUCUCUUAAUCUUUAACUGCUUCAGGGCUAACCCUGACUCCUGAAACAAACAGGCCCAGCUCUUCCCAGUUCUAGGCACCUCCCUUAGGCUGGAAAGAUAUAUCUGAAAGCAGGGCUGGAGCCGGGACCACGUGGAGCAGGCAUAGUUAGGAUGCUCCCGCGAAUGCUGGAGGCACACCUAACUUUAACCCAUUUUCUCCAUUGAGAGCUUUGCCCGAAGAGUGGCCAGAGGCCAGCAGGCAGAGUGGAGCAAAGUGGACUUAGGACCCUGACUGGGGUCCGAAGGCCAAGAAGCAGACAGAUCCGGGUAGGGGUGGCUCCAGCUUCAGUAAGAGGAUAUUGUGGUCCCUGGAGUAAGCAGGGGAGGGGGCUUCCUCUAGAAAUCUGCUGGGCUAUUGUUGCACUUUCCGAAACCGUGGAAGGUUUCCAGGAGGCAGUGACAACCCCAAAUAAUAAUAAUAACGCUCCUCCCCCAGCAGCAGGAAUUCUGGAAAAAACAGCUGCUGCCGUUAUCGCCCCAGGAAAAAACAAGGUCAGGCGCUGCAAAGAUUUAAUUUAAGGUGUGCCCCCGCCGCCUGUGGGCCACGCACCAGCACGCACGCGUCCUUGGAGCGCGGGGGUCGAGGCCUGUGGGAACCCGGAGGCACCCAGGCUGCCUCUGCAUCCAGAGAGUCCAGCAAACCAGACCUAGCUCUAGAGGUCUCAGCGGGGAGUCUGGGGCGGCCCGCAGUCGCCUGGGGCCAUCAGCGGACCUCACUCGGGCUGCUGGCUGCCCCGAGCUUCUGGGGGGCUAAAUCAGUCUCCAACAAAGCACUCUGAAAUGAGGGGCGCUGUCAGGAGAACAUAGCCCGACCUUAAUGAGAAGUGACGGCAGAGUGGGCCGCAGGCGCUGGCAGGCCAGGUCGGCUGGAGCCCAAAGACCCUUGUCCUUGUCGGCUGCGGCUUGUAGGGCUGGGCUCCCGGCGCUCAGGGGCGGGAUGGCUGGGCUUGGAGAGCUGCUCGCGCCGUCCGCCGCCCAGUCCCCACCGACCACACUUGCUGAAUACAGCUCGGGUGCGGCACUUGGAGCCGUCCGGGGCCAGCCCUGGGCACCGCCGCCUACAGAGCCUUGGUGGUGGCCUUGGGAGGAGAGGACAGACGCUUCACUCCACGCAGACUGGAGAGAGACAGCGCGCGCGCUGCGGCUCAAAGCAUGCUUCCUUGGCGCUCCACGCCAGCCUGGGGAGGCUUUGAAGUCACCAGCAUGGGCAGAAGAGUACCCGGAGAUUCCCUGGACUGUGUUGGGAGUGUUCAUAUUCUUGACUACCAGAUGGGAGGGUCUGGCCUGGCCCUCCAGGCCGCCAAUCCACCGCCCGGGCCCGGGUCGCCUAAACUUCCAGGCAGAAACCAACCAACACCCAUGAUUCCCCUAUUUCCCAAACUGGGGAAUAAGGAGCAGGGGUUAGGAGAAAGGGGGAGGGGGGAGGGGGCAGGGUCGAACCCGUUGGUUUUUUACUUUAAAAUUAUAUAUUUUAUGUCACAAUCACUUUUCGUUAAGACCACAAGCAUCCAAUUUGGCUUGGCGUAAUAAAAUCAGCCGGAGCUCCCUUAAACGGAGCCAUUGCAGAGAAUUAAGUUGUGAAAUCUAAUCUAUUAUAUCCAUAAAGGAGAAUGCUUUCAUUGUAAAUUCAGGUUAUAAAGAAACUAUACCUGGGCCGCCAGCCUCCCUUUCGGAUCUGCUACUUGAAGGCUUAUCAAAUUACUGCAAAAUGUUGGGCUCCCCUCUCUAUCUCACGGCAACCAAAAUUAAAUGUGGCAACAUUUCUUUAAUACCUAAGAUCGGAAACAACUGGUUCAACAAUGGGAUAUAAUUUUUAAGACACCUCCAUUCGCGUCGGAAAGCACUCUACUCCCCCAAUUAAUUCAAGUUUUUAAAAACUCUAAAAGCACCACGACUCCGCAAGUGCUCAACUGUUCCGGCGGAGGGCUCUCGGGUGCAAUCCCGGGUGGAUCGCACGUGGACCGCACACACCCGUGGCUCGGACCCACAACAGCAGCGUGCGUCACACCUGCGGGACCAGCGCCUGGGAGCCUGGCUUCUACACCCCAGUCCCAGGCGCCCCGCUGGUUCCAGAAAUGGCUGGACCAGACAAAGGAGUCGCCAAGGAGGGGUUAAGCUGCCCCUCACCCUUCUCAGAAUACAUCCUUCCAGGCAGCUGGAGCAAGGGAAACGUGGCACCCUAACAUUUCUUUGGUUUUACAAACGGGUUUUGGAUAUUUGCUGCCCUUCCUGGGAGGGGGUUGGGCCCAGGUCGGUAUCUCUCCCUCUGACACCUUCUUCCACUUCUGAAAAUUAAUUAACUCCGGGAUUGGGCUGGGACGUCCUGGGCUGGACAUAAGUGGGGGGGGGGGUCACCAAGGACUCUCCGUCCUCGAUCCCAAAGAGGGGUGUCUGGGGGACGUCGAGGAGAUCGAUAAGUUUCUAGAUUCCCAGGGAACUGGAGGACGUGGCUUUUGUCAGGCCUGCGAAAAAGAUUUAUGAGGCGCCGGCGGAGUGUUGGGCUGGCUUCGCCCUGGCGGCCAGCGCACCCCGUCUAAUCUUUGAUUUCCAUCUAAUUAUUUUUUUUUCCUGCCUUCAACUCGGUGUCCGGAGAGGCGAACAAAGGGAUGAGGGUGGGGGGUGGGGAGGCAGGCACUGGCGGUCCGGGGAUCCCCACAUAAAGUUGGAGCCCCCUGAACGUCCAAAGGCUCGAGCUCCGGUGAGCGUUCCGGGAGGCCUAGGGAGGUUACCCGACAGGAGCUGAGGCCACCGGAGACCCGCAGCAGGGCCUGGGUGGGCGUUGCAGUCCUCCGGUGCUGUUCAGAGCCGGAGCCCAGCGGGGUUUCUAGGGAAAGAUCCGCAGAAAGGCCCUAGAGUGGAGGGAGAAGGGGUGGAGGCAGCUCUCCCCUAAAUGCAAUUAAUCGGGGAAUUGGGAGACAGGACAGCCCUCAGUAGAGGCGAAAGAUGGAGGCAGGGUUCUUUUAUCCCCAACCCCGUUCAGAAAAAAGGUUUGUCCAAGCGGGUGAGAGAAGGGCGCAACUUGAAUUUUUCAUGUUAGCCAGAGAGAAAAAAAAAAUCCAAAAUGGAAAAUGAUUUUAUUGGUCACUACCCAUAAGUCAAGUAAAAACAAGGAUAAUUAGAGAGUAGGGAAUUCAGGGGCCAUAAAUCCGCGGCGCCUUCUCCACCGGCGUCGGAAGCUUUAUGGCUUGUUGAGUUUUAUUUUGAGAGAAAGGAAACACAGAGUUUUGGUGGAAGCGGGACUACCCACCAAGCGCCGCCCGGGCAGACGCGCGUAGCGAAUUCGCCCCGGACUUUGGAAGGUGGCCACAAUUAAGGAUCGCUUUGUCCCAGAAAGAGGGACCUUCCCCCCGGCCGGGACCCUUCUCUCCUCGGCGGGAUCCGUGCUCAACCAGACUCUGGGUAGGGAAGUCACACUCUUCCUCACCCCAACUACGACGAAGAUGGAUACUUGGUGUGCGUGGGGCCGGAAGUUUUUAAACGAGAUUCCACUCGCAGCUUCCAAACGUCCACCUGGUGCUGCACGCUUGGGGGCCUUUUCUUCUAAUUUAAGGGGUGGGAAGGAUGGGACAAAAGAAAAACAACCCACCUUACUUUGCAAUCUUCCUCAAAGAGACUGGGAGUACUUUUCAUUCCAUAGGGGUUUCUACCCCACCAGCCAGAGCCCCGUUUCUUCUUCUGAAAUGGUCUUCUCACAAAGCCACCCUUAGCCGACACCGUGUAAAAUCCCACUAUCGGGUAAGCCAGUGGGGACGCUUCUGGCUCAGCUGCAGCUAACUUGGGAGAAAAGAAAGUGAAUUCUUCAAGAACUUUAAAAUAAAAGCGGCCCUUUCCCGGCAA